UGCAUUUUAGUUAAAAAAUAUCAUGUUUCCAUAUAUGUGUUUCAUUUUUUUUCCAGCGGGGCAAGGACUUUUUUUUUCAUUAAUUGAAGCGGGGCAAGAACUUUUUUUAUAAUAAAUAUUGGCGGGGCAUACAGUUUUUUUUUUUUUUAAUAUUUGCUGUACACCGGCCCCACCCUCAGAUAAAUAUUGCACAGUCCCUUAAUAGAUGACGUCACCAUUAACGCGUCAUGAACCCCCUAUGAAAUUUACCAACCCCUACGGUCUCAUAGGGGGUCACCACGUGACGGCGUUAAACCAAUCACAACGUGAUAAUUUAUCCGCGGUGCGAU
rnacentral:lncRNA from 1 species